UAUAAAACUGAACGCAAAUGUGAUUACUGGGAAUUAUUUUCAGCUUCAAUGAGAGAAAGAGAGGAACAAAAGAGGAAGGAGGAGAGUGACUUCAGACAAGAGUGCAGAAAAUUCUUGGUCCCUCAUGCCUUGUGAUCCAGGGAAAAGGAAAUGAUGACAUCAGUGAACUUCAGAUGAUGUCUGCUCAGGAUGUUUGCAGUUUGUCACUGGGUUCCAGGUUGUGGGUUCUGGAGGAGGGCUGGGCUCCUCCUCUCAGAGGGACUGGCUCUGCCUCAGCCUUGGGGAAGAAGGGCAGAAGCCAGGGCCCUCACCCAUAUUGUUCCUGAAGAAAUGCAAGGUUACUGAGGAAAAGGUGAGAAAUGUGCAGGAGAAGAAAGACUUUGACCAGGCAACCCCAUGGCAUCACACUGAUAGCAGAGGCUGAGCAGGAAGUGACUCCUCGACCCACAAUGACAGCCAGGCAGGAGCCACCUGGGCAAGGGCUGGACCCAGCUCUGCAUGUUUCCUGGACC